ensembl:lncRNA
ACGAAAUCAAGAAGGAUGGUCGAGACUAUGUCCCCUACAGGGAGCACAAAGACUACACAUUAGAAAUGAGAUCUACAGAUCGCAGUGGUAAAUACCAGUGCUAUGGCAGCUCAAAGUGGUCAGAUUAUACAAAGAACAGUAAUACUGUCUCUGUAACUGUAUUAGCAGGUAAACCCAGGGCCACACUGACAGCAGGAACAACAAUCAUACCAGCAGGGGGCAGUGUGACACUGACCUGCUCUGUGCAGAGCUCUGAUGGAUGGAAAUAUGAGUGGUUCAGACGAACCCAAAAAACCUCUGAAGUUCCAAUAAGAGGUCAACAAAACAGAGAUAUCAGAGUAUCUGAAGGAGGAAUCUACAGCUGCAGAGGAACAAGAGGAAACCCAGUUUACUACACUGAUAUAAGUGAUGAUGUCACCAUUGAGAAAACCAUUUCCAAUAAAGUUGUUGUAAAACAACG